rnacentral:rRNA from 1 species
CAGUAGCCGCGGUAACACGUAGGUCCCGAGCGUUGUCCGGAUUUAUUGGGCGUAAAGCGAGCGCAGGCGGUUAGAUAAGUCUGAAGUUAAAGGCUGUGGCUUAACCAUAGUACGCUUUGGAAACUGUUUAACUUGAGUGCAAGAGGGGAGAGUGGAAUUCCAUGUGUAGCGGUGAAAUGCGUAGAUAUAUGGAGGAACACCGGUGGCGAAAGCGGCUCUCUGGCUUGUAACUGACACUGAGGCGCGAAAGCGUGGGGAGCAAACAGGAUUAGAUACCCCUGUAGUCCCUGUCUCUUAUACA